UUCUAUAUUUAUUAUUUUUCGGUAUUAUUCAUAUUUUUAUUCAACGGUUCAGAUUUAAUUUUUUAAAAAUUUAAUAUGUAAUAACAUGUCAUUUUGAGAAAGGUACGAGUUACUAGAUACCCCAAAAAAAAGUAUUUGGUUCUUUUAUCAAACUCUAUUCUCUCUUUGUUUCAUUUUUCUCUCUCGGUCUUUCCUCUUCAUCCAUAAUAAAGAUGUAAAGGGGUAGGAUUCGGGGCGAAUUUCAAAAACCCGAACCCGAAUCCAAAUCCAACGAAUUUUAAAAAAUCAUAUCCAUACCCGUACCUAACUAAAAAUGCGAAACCCGAAUCCUAGCCCGAACCUAAAAUAUUUAUUUCUCUUUACAAUAUUUUAAAAUAUAUUAAAUUAAAUCUAAAGUUUAAAAAUACAUAUUCAAAUAUAACAUCAAAUAUUUAUAUAUAUAUUAUAUAUAACGUAAAAUAAAUUCGGAUUCCGGUUGGUUUCAAAUUCUGAUCAGAUACAAUCAAAAUACAUAUCCAAAUUCAAAUCCGUCUGGUUUUCGUUUCUGACAUUCAUAUUCAAAACUAUAUCCGUUUAGUACAGAUAAAUCGACUGCGUUUGCUUUUGAAUUUGAAUUUAGAUUCAAAUAAAAUUAUAGAUGUCCGUACCCAUUGACAUUCGUAAUCCACAGAUAUUUUAUCAUUUCAUAUCCGUAAUCUACAGAUAUUUUAUUAAAAAAUAUUACAACAUUGAAUUUAAAUUUUUUUUACCUAUAUUUAAAUUUUUAAAAAAAUUUGUGGUAAAAAAUUAAUAUAUAAAUUAGAAAAAUUUAGAAGUUUCUUAAACAAAUUAAAUAUAUUGAAUUCGUUAUUAUCAACAUUAAAUUUGUUAAAAUAGUAACACAAAAUUUCUCUUAUUUAAAUUUAAAUAUUAAAUAUUUAAAUUCAACAUAUUUAGAAAUAUUACUAUUUUUACGAUUCCUAAAAUUUAAAUUAAUGCCUAAAUUAGAAGAAUUCUAAAAUUUCUAAAAUUAAUGCCUAAAAUUUGGGAUAUCAAUUAAAUUUUAAACUAAUGGUUAAAUUCGUGCAAAAUUAAUGCUAAAUUUGGGAUAUUAAUCAAAACUUUCUUAAAACUUUGCCUAGUAUAAUUACAAAAAUACCCUCAUAUGAAAUAACCUUUUAACCUGCUACAUAAUUAUAUAACAUUUUUAACCUUCAUUAAUCAACGGUUAAGAUUUUUUUUUAUAUAAAAUAAAGUACCAAAUCAUUUCUCUAAUAAUAAAACACAACUAGUGGUCCAAAUUUUGUAGAAGUCUACAAGUUAAACCCGCCUAUUUGAUAAAGUUGUAAGNGAGAGAGAGAGAGACGUCGAGAGAGAGCGAGAGAAAGCGGCGUGCGAGAGAGAGGGCCGGGACGAAGGCGAGAGAGAGAUGAAAAUAAUACUGUUAAUUAGAUUUGGAAUUUUUGGAGGGUAAAAUUGUCAUUUUACAUAAUAUGUAGUAUUAACGGGUUUCAGUAAUGCAAGAUACACGACCCCCCUCCCGUUAAUAUUUUUGAUGUAAUCCUGCUCGAUUUGUAAUGCUAUAUUAACGACUAGAUUACAUAGUGGAUUAACCAAACACAGUUAUCCUGGCAGGAUUGCCUGUAAUCCUGUCAGGAUAACUCGAACCAAACGCACCCUUAAGGCUAAAGGAUAUAACAAAAUAAUAAUAUAUAAUAUUAUAUUCUUUUUUCCUAUUAAAAAAAAAUAAAGCAUGCAGGGAAAGUGUACAAGAAAUUCCGCAGCACCUUUGAUCUGGAUGAUUCAUUCAUUCCUAGCACCAAAAGAAACAGAGAUUGGCUUUACUUCGCUCUCUCAGCUGGUGUGGACUAAGCUUUGCUCAUGAAGAGAAAUUAUUGGCUGGACCGUGUCCGUCACCUCCGCUCGUGGACCGCCAAUGUCAUCUAUCAUAUAUCCUUCUCUUUAGAUGAAAGGCAGAUGGUUGGGCGGUCCACAGCUGACGUGGUGAUCUGUGACCAUGCAGGAAUUUCUUGCUGCCGUGUGAAACAGUGAGAGAGGUUGAGAGGGUGAGCAAAAAUUCAAGAGCCGUGUGCAAGGAAGGGAUAUUUUGUGUUGACGUUCAGGGCACACAUUAUGCUGUUGACAAAAGAGAAGCAUGUUUCACCUUCUUUAAUGCUGCGGUGAACUUCUCAGUUCACAUCCUAUCACUCUUUGGUUCUGACACUAAUAAUAACAGUACUGUUUCUGUAUUUAUCAUUUUUCUGUAUUAUUCAUAUUUUUAUUCAACAGUUGAGAUUUACUUUUUUUUUUUUUUAAUUAUGACCUGUAAUAACAUGUCAUUUUGAGAAAGAUACGAGUUACUAGAUACCCCAAAAAAAAGUAUUUGGUUCUUUUAUCAAACUCUAUUCUCUCUUUGUUUCAUUUUUCUCUCUCGGUGUUUCCUCUUCAUCCACAAUAAAGAUGUAAAAGGGUAGGAUUCGGGGCGGAUUUCAAAAACCCGAACCCGAAUCCAAAUCUAACGAAUUUUAAAAAGUCAUAUCCAUACCCGUACCUAACUAAAAAUGCGAAACCCGAAUCCUAGCCCGAACCUAAAAUAUUUAUUUUCUCUUUACAAUAUUUUAAAAUAUAUUAAAUUAAAUCUAAAAUUUUAAAAUACAUAUUCAAAUAUCAAAAUCCAUAUCCGAAUUCAAAUCCAUUAGGUUUUCAUUUCUGACAUUCAUGUCCAAAACUAUAUCUGUUUAGUAUAAAUAAAUCGAUUGCGUUUGCUUUUGAAUUUGGAUUCAAAUUCAGAUAAAAUUAUAGGUGUCUGUACCCAUUGACAUCCGUAAUCCAUAUAUAUUUUAUCAUUUCAUAUUCAUAAUCUACAGAUAUUUUAUUAAAAAAUAUUACAACAUUGAAUUUAAAUUUUUUUUUACUUAUAUUUAUUUUUUUUUUUAAUUUCU
rnacentral:lncRNA from 1 species